AAGAGAAUUGGCUUGCCCCAAAAGUGAGCUGACAUGAAAAUAGAUAAAUGGGCCUCUUUUCAUGACCUUUUUGCUAUUCUAAACGGAUUUUACGAUUCUAUUUUUAACAUAAUCAACAUAGUAUUUCAUCGCAUAUGCUUCGGUGAGAAGGUCUGGAGCAUAAGAAUUGAAAUGUGACGGAAAGCUAUGAAGGAAACUACUAACAAAAUUAAUCGCCAUUAAAUAACAAAUAAACAUUUUUUAGCCUUU